CUCAAUUUGAGAAGUAUGUCUGUUCUUCACCCUCAGGCCUCCGUUAAAAAGACUGCGUGCUCAUGCAUUAAGGAAGAAAUCAAUUGGAAUAAAUUAGGAAGUAAUGACAGCCAUGAAAAUGAUGAAGAAGAAGAUUUGUGGUCGUCUCCCACACCGAAGAGAAAAAGACAUUGACUUCACCUUCUUACGUCAUUCUAACAGGAAAGGAAAGCGGUACAGGGGCGCCUGUGAUGAUGAAUAAAAGUUGUUCUCAUGAAUGUGUAAAAGAUAAUUCAGUCCAAAGCAGCAUUGGGAGUUCAAAACCAGAAAUGAGUGAAUCUGAUGACAACUUCAAUGUAUCCAAAAUCAGAAAGGAGAGAUUGACUGCUCCAGCUUAUCGAAAGUUUUUGAGAGAAUGUAAUAUGAGAGCUAAAACUUUAAGGGAAUUCAACCAAACCAACAAUCUGAUUCUGAUGUCGGAUGCAUGAAUGCUUAAUGAGGUUUUAGAGAAGAUCAUAUUGCUUUGAUUUGCAAAUAUAUGAAAAUAAUUUUUAGAUGCUAAUUGGUGUAUAUAUUUGUUGUUAAAUGACUUUGAGUAUAUGCACUUUCAUGAACUCUAGCUAGGUUUGG